GAUGUUCUGCUGUCUAUAGCAUCUGCUGAAUGUGGGUUUUAUCUGUUAAACAUCAGCAACACGUAUCACAACAGCAGAGGUACCGAAUCAAUUCAAGGAGAGUCGCCCCCACCCUCUCCCAUUCAUGCCUCCUCCAAAGCCGCUUGCAAAUUGCGGCUUUGUAGUUUCCCUGCGAUGGAGCAGUAGGACCCAGGGGCCUGCCACAGCUACCAAUAGAAGCCCAUACUUGGAUCUAUUUGUAUGCAAUGCUUUCUGCUCUGCGCAUUAAUGGUAAUACAGAUAACGGGUCUGAAAGAAUUCUCUUCUGAAGAAGGAUUUGAUUUUCCGAGGUCCUGAUAUUGGGAAGAAAUCCAGUUUCAUCCCUCUUGUAGAGUGAAAAGUCUCUUGAAUAGCUUGUCUGCUUGAACUCAAAAGAAGGUCUCUCUUUUCUCUGUGUGUGCGCGAGCCAAGGAAAGUUGCAAGGACUGUCUGAAUCAUGGAGCUGCUAGUUUUCUGACAUCCUCCUUAUCUGAGAGGAUAACAUUUCCAAAAGUGUUGUUGGACUGGUGUGAUGCAAGAACAGAAACAUCAUGAAAUGGAAACAUUAUUCUUUUACUGUCGUGGUAGCUGUACUCAGCCUGUCCUGGAUACAUCAGUUAUUGGCUCAGCUUAUUCCAGUGAUCCUCUGCUUCAGUAUGACAUUUAGAAACUGGUUCAUCACAACUUUUAUGCCAAAGUCUUCACAGAGAUAUAAUUGGGUGAGCUAUACCUUUUUUAAUGUAAAGCAACUGGGGAGGGGGGCAUUACACUUAAAUGACCUUGAACGUCCAAACAGUUUGCUUCCAAGAGACAUGAAAUUAGU
rnacentral:lncRNA from 1 species